rnacentral:rRNA from 1 species
UACAGAGGUGGCAAGCGUUGUUCGGAAUUACUGGGCGUAAAGGGCGCGUAGGCGGUCUUCUAAGUCUUGUGUGAAAUCCCUCGGCUCAACUGAGGAACUGCACGGGAUACUGGAAGACUUGAGUUCGGGAGAGGGGAAGCGGAAUUCCGGGUGUAGCGGUGAAAUGCGUAGAUAUCCGGAGGAACACCGGUGGCGAAGGCGGCUUCCUGGACCGAUCACUGACGCUGAGCGCGAAGCUAGGGGAG